CCUACGGGAGGCAGCAGUGAGGAAUAUUGGUCAAUGGACGAGAGUCUGAACCAGCCACGCAGCGUGAAUGAUGACUGCCCUCUGGGUUGUAACCUUCUUUUAUAAAGGAAUAAUACGAGGCUUGUGUGCCUUUUUGCAUGUACUUUAUGAAUACGGAUCGGCUAACUCCGUGCCAGCAGCCGCGGUACUACGGAGGAUCCGAGCGUUCUCCGAAUUUAUUGGGUUUAAGGGGAGCGUAGAUGGGAUGGUAAGUCAGUGGUGAAAGUUUGCGGCUCAACCGUAAAAUUGCAAUUGAUACUGGCAGUCUUGAGUACAGUAGAGGUAGGCGGAAUUCGUGGUGUAGCGGUGAAAUGCUUAGAUAUCACGAAGAACCCCGAUUGCGAAGGCAGCUUACUAAACUGUGACUGACAUUGAGGCUCGAAAGUGUGGGUAGCAAACAGGAUUAGAUACCCUAGUAGUC
rnacentral:rRNA from 1 species